UACAGAGGUCUCAAGCGUUGUUCGGAUUCAUUGGGCGUAAAGGGUGCGUAGGCUGCGCGGAAAGUUGGGUGUGAAAUCCCUCGGCUCAACCGAGGAACUGCGCCCAAAACUACCGUGCUCGAGGAAGAUAGAGGUGAGCGGAACUUACGGUGGAGCGGUGAAAUGCGUUGAUAUCGUAAGGAACACCCGUGGCGAAAGCGGCUCACUGGGUCUUUUCUGACGCUGAUGCACGAAAGCUAGGGGAGCAAACGGG
rnacentral:rRNA from 1 species